UACAGAGGUCCCAAGCGUUGUUCGGAUUCACUGGGCGUAAAGGGUGCGUAGGCGGUCGGGUAAGUCUGAUGUGAAAUCUCACAGCUUAACUGUGAAACUGCAUUGGAUACUAUUCGGCUAGAGAGUUGGAGGGGGGACUGGAAUUCUCGGUGUAGCAGUGAAAUGCGUAGAUAUCGAGAGGAACACCAGUGGCGAAGGCGAGUCCCUGGACAACUUCUGACGCUGAGGCACGAAAGCUAGGGGAGCAAACAGG
rnacentral:rRNA from 1 species